rnacentral:rRNA from 1 species
ACCUGGCUUACACCGGUUUAAACUCAGAUCAUGUAAAAUUUUAAAGGUCGAACAGACCUAACUUAUAAGCUUCUACACCCAUAAUUUAUUUUAAUCCAACAUCGAGGUCGCAAUCUUUUUUUUUGAUAAGAACUCUAAAAAAAAUUACGCUGUUAUCCCUAAGGUAAUUUAAUCUUAUAAUCUAAAUUGUAGGAUCAAAAAAUCACAAAUCAGUGUUUUAAAACAAAAAAAGUUUAUCUAAUUUUUCUAUCACCCCAACAAAAUACUUUUUUUAAAAAAAUAAAUUUUAAAUUUCUUCAAAUUUCUAUCUUUUUACAGUAUAAAACUCUAUAGGGUCUUCUCGUCUUCAAUGAAAAUUUAAGCUUUUUUACUUAAAAAUAAAAUUCUAAUAAAUUUUUUCAGAGACAGCUAUUUUCUCAUCAAACCUUUCAUUCAAGCUUCCAUUUAAAAAACUAGUGAUUAUGCUACCUUUGCACGGUCAGAAUACCGCGGCCAUUUAAACACUCAUUGGGCAGGUCARACUUGAAAUUAUAACCAACAAGCCAUGUU